rnacentral:rRNA from 1 species
AUUGAACGCUGGCGGCAGGCCUAACACAUGCAAGUCGAACGAGUGGCGGCCGGGUGAGUAAUGUCUGGGAAACUGCCCGAUGGAGGGGGAUAACUACUGGAAACGGUAUCUAAUACCGCAUACCAUCGGAUGUGCCCAGAUGGGAUUAGCUAGUAGGUGGGGUAACGGCUCACGUAGGCGACGAUCCCGAGCUGGUCUGAGAGGAUGACCAGCCACACUGGAACUGAGACACGGUCCAGAGUCAUACGGGAGGCAGCAGGGGGGAGUAUUGCACAAUGGGCGCAGGACUGAUGAAGAAAUGCCACGUGUAUGAAGAAGGCAUUCGGGUUGUAAGGUACUGUCAGCGAGGAGGCGUUACUAGCAGAAGAAGCAUCGGCUAACUCCGUGCCAGCAGCCGCGGUAAUUC